rnacentral:rRNA from 1 species
AGGGUUCGAUCAUGGCUCAGGAUGAACGCUAGCGGCAGGCCUUAUACAUGCAAGUCGAACGGUAACAUUGGUGCUUGCACCAGAUGACGAGUGGCGCACGGGUGCGUAACGCGUAUGCAACCUACCUUUUACUAGAGUAUAGCCCAGAGAAAUUUGGAUUAAUCCUCUAUAACAUCUUUUGAUUUCAUGAUUAAUUGAUUAAAGUUUUAACGGUAAAAGAUGGGCAUGCGUCCUAUUAGUUUGUAGGUGAGGUAACGGCUCACCUAGACUACGAUAGGUAGGGGCCCUGAGAGGGGGAUCCCCCACACUGGUACUGAGACACGGACCAGACUCCUACGGGAGGCAGCAGUAAGGAAUAUUGGACAAUGGACGAAAGUCUGAUCCAGCCAUGCCGCGUGCAGGAUGAAAGCCCUAUGGGUUGUAAACUGCUUUUAUACAGGAAGAAACACUCCGACGUGUCGGAGCUUGACGGUACUGUAAGAAUAAGGAUCGGCUAACUCCGUGCCAGCAGCCGCGGUAAUUC